CUCAGGUCGUUAUUUGGGUGCUGAAGGCACAAGGGGUCAGAUCUGGGUUGAAGACACCCUGCCCUAGGUACCAGCUGGAGAUGUUUUGUCCCUUCCAGGACGCUGGAGGCGGAGAGAGUCACUUGAGGGAGUUUCUGCUGUUCUUGCUGAUGAUUUUGCUACUUUGCUUACAGGGGUUAUGGAAAUGGGGAGAGGGAAAAUCGAGGUAGUUCUUAGGAGGUGUAAAAGUUGAACAGCAAAAGGUGGAGCAGAGAGAAAGGGCCAUGUGGAUUGGCUUCCAUCAUAAAGACACCUUCAUUCCCUGAGGAGAAGGGUAACACGCAACUCAGCUAACCACAAUCCAAUGUAACAGGUAGAGAACCUGGCUCCAGUGGACAACGGCUGCCCGGGACCCAUUUUGCUGUUUUCGGAAUUCUUUUCUGAAAGGUGAGCAGGCUGCCCAGUAUACAACCUCACAGCUGGGGGAAACUGGCUCUCACCUGUAUCUGGAAGUGUGGGGAUGCUGACUGCACAGGCUCAUAGAUGCAAUGAGGACCACCUGUACAUAAGGCUUCCUAAGUCAGCUGACUCUGAUCCCAUCAUUACAAUGAGUUACCAUGACUGCUUCAAACAUGAGAUCCACCAUCUCUCUGGGUCUUCGGCUGCCUGUCCUCAGUCUUGCCCAUGGGACCUGUGUGGUUUAUCCUAUGAGAAGAGAAGACUCUGCCCUCCGGUGUGGCGCAACCUGCAAACCAGUAAUGAUGUACGCAAUGCAACAGAAAAGAAUAAAUCACAGGAGCCUAGCAAGACUGGCUGAGACC
rnacentral:lncRNA from 1 species